rnacentral:rRNA from 1 species
AGCGAACGCUGGCGGCAGGCUUAACACAUGCAAGUCGAGCGGGCACUUUCGGAUGUCAGCGGCGGACGGGUGAGUAACGCGUGGGAACGUGCCCUCUGGUUCGGAAUAACUCAGGGAAACUUGAGCUAAUACCGGAUACGCCCUUUUGGGGAAAGGCUUGCUGCCGGAGGAUCGGCCCGCGUCUGAUUAGCUAGUUGGUGAGGUAACGGCUCACCAAGGCGACGAUCAGUAGCUGGUCUGAGAGGAUGAUCAGCCACACUGGGACUGAGACACGGCCCAGACUCCUACGGGAGGCAGCAGUGGGGAAUAUUGGACAAUGGGCGCAAGCCUGAUCCAGCCAUGCCGCGUGAGUGAUGAAGGCCUUAGGGUUGUAAAGCUCUUUUAUCCGGGACGAUAAUGACGGUACCGGAGGAAUAAGCCCCGGCUAACUUCGUG